UUCUACGAAUGCGACCAAAUUCGUCUUAUUCCUUAUUCGUACAAAAGUAUAGCAGACAACUCAGCGGACAUGCUAUCACAUCAGACAUCAGCAUGAUAACGAAAAAGUACGUCAUUGUGGAGACAUUAAUUGGAACAAUAUCAGACGAAGAAAACAACAUACGUUUGAGCAGAUAGGUUUUCCCACCCAACAUUAAACAGUUAAACAAGUGGAGAACGACAGCUGACCCUUUCGUGGACACGAGUAAUCUUAAAAUGAUAAAAAUGAACUUACUUGAGGCAG